UGCUGCAAGCAGUCCUUGAAAUUCCUGGAUGCACAUGGAUCUUGGAGCAGGUGCAAGGGUGGUGUAAUAGAGGACAUGUCCCUGGAGCAGAGGUGAGUUUCACUUUCCCAUCUAACCUUAUCCAUAGCAAACUUGAUGCUAUAUAACCAUUUAGUGUUUAGUUUUUGGACCAAUUCUGGUGGAUAAUGUCAGACUUUAACAUGCUGAAUACUUACACUACGUUUCUAGAGGUGAAGCUUUUUUCUGGAUAAUUUUUCCUCCCUGCUUGGUUGGGGCAUUUCUAUACUAAUGUGCACUUGACUGGCUGUCCAUUCUGGCUUUGUAAGACAAUUACUGCUUUGCAUCUGAUUUAUUUCAUGGGUGCACACAUGUAAAUAAAUCAGUUUAGAUGCACAGUAGUACAAUGUUGUGGCACACCAACAGCCUCCUCUACUGUAGACUCCUUGCUGGUUACGACCAGGUACUCGUGAUGGAUGUUGCCACAGGAACUGCUCUCCUCACAGGGGAGGAACCGCACUGGAUCCCUCCCCUGUGGCAAGAGCCCUUGACUGGGGGUUUUCUCUUGGCUCUCUGCAGGGUGUUUUCCUGUUUUAUCCUGGACACAUGCUGCACCAUAAACACUUUACAAGUUUAGUACAAAACUGGAACUGGGAGUAAAUGUUCUUGUGGUUUUCCAAGUGCAGAGGAUCAUGCCAAAACUGUCUACUAGGUUUUAUGCUGCCGGAAGGGUUGACCAGACCUUUGCUCCCAGACGAAUGACCUUUCAUCACCAGGAGUGGAGUACAGAUGGGGCUGGUCUCUGGGAUCUUUAGCAAGAUCUGCUGGAGGAAUGGGGUGCUUGUUCAAAGGCUGAAAGUCAAUGGUAACAUCAGAGGAUCUAGUCAGAUGUAUCGGUCCCUCACCUCAUGCGAGUGUGAUGCCAACCUACAAGAUUGCCCAGCUCUGGGACAAGGAGCCUGCAUUUGGUCAGCUGAAGUUAAGGUGCUGUUUUCCCAGAUCUGUCUCCGUGGGGAGCAAGGAGUGCUACUGGUUGGGAAGUGGACUUGGGCUUCUCUCGGUGAACAAGGUGAGUUGAAGUUGGUGCACUGAGAGGCAGCUGUCAGAGUUGGGAUGGUUUUCAGCCCCUGGUCUCAAGAGAAGUAGUGGAAUGCCAUGAUGGGUGCUCCCCAGUCCCUUCCCACCUGAAUGCAGACAUGGAACAGUAUUGGCUGUCUGAAAGGCAUCAGGAGUGUGAUCCAAUUCCUUUCUGUGAGUAUUGAAGUCCUGCAGAUGGAACACCAGAAAGCAAGGAGGGGUUUGAAGCUGCCCUUGCUGAAUCUGCUGGGUAGCUGUGGAUGUAGGAACACAUGCAAAGGUAGUCAUGCAGGGCAUUGGUGAGUUGUCAUUUUUAGUUUCUGUUCUUUGAUUUGGGAAAGUGUAGAGAUGUUCAAGUUGGUCAUUAUACUCAUAUAGAGGUAUAUGGUGUAAAAUGCUAUAUAACUAUCCUCGGAUGGUAAGUAGUACAAAAAAGAAGCAAUGUGCAAAAUCAUGCAUCAACUAUGGAUCUAAAGUUCUGGGGGGUGAGGUUGAGGUAGAUUUCAAUGUGUGUUUGAGCUUUAAGAGAAGGUACAGUGAGGGUUCAGAUCAUGGGUGAGAGGCUGGCAGUUUAAUAGUGUGGGGGUAAAAACGGAGUUUGGUAAUCUGGGCCUGAGUGCUCCAGUACCGAUUUCUGGCUGGUAGAAGGUCAAACGCUCUUCUUGCUUGGGUGUGUGGAGUCUUUGCUUGGAGCUUUCCUCAAGCACAGUUUGUCAUAGAUGGACUGGGCAGUUUUCACCACCUGCUGUAGGGCUUUGUGGUCGGCAACACUGCAGAUGCAACCUGUUAGUGUACUGUCUGUUGUGCAUCUGUAUAAGUUGGUGAGGUUCUGGGGACAUCUUGGCCUUCUUCAACUGUCUUUGGAAAUACAGGCUCUGUUGUGCUUUCUUAAUCAGAUAAGUGGACAAUGGACUUGGCACACCCCUGGGGAACCCCAGUGUUCAGAGUUUGUGUGGUUUCCAAGCCUGACAGCCUGUGGUCUGCCUGUCAAAGUCCCAAAUCCCAUUGCAGAGGAUGGUAUUGAGACCCAGUGUACCGAGUUUCUUUUUUCUGGAAUGAUGUUAAAAGCGGAGCUGAAGUUGGUGAAUGUUUUUCUUUUUUUUUUUAAUCCAGAUGGGAUAGGGCAGUGUGUAUGGCAAUGAAGACUGUCAUCUGUGGAUCUGUUGGUAUGGGUCUAGUGUCAGAAUUGUUUCCUUAAUGUGCCCCAUGACUAGCCCUUGAAGCACUUUACCAUGAUGGUUGUCGGUGCCACCGUGUGGUAGUCAUUAAGGCAUGUUACUGUGGUUUUCUUUGGUAUUGGGAUGAUGGUGGUUGUCUUGAAGCAGGUUGGGACUACAGCUUGGCCCCAAGACAUGCUGAAAAUGUUUGAAUACACUCGGCAGUUGAUUGGUUUAGGUUCUGAGCAUGGAACUGGGAAUGAUAUUGGGCCUUGUGCACGUUCACUUUUAGCAGAGAUCUCCUCCACAUUUGCAGACAGUGAGAGCACCUGGUCGGUCGCGGAGGGUGCAGUUCUGUUGAGUGGAUUUGAACUGAGUGUAAAAAGUGUUGAGCUUGUUGUGCAGGGAGGCAUCAUGGGCAGGUGCACAGAUGUUCUUUCUUUCGUAGUCUAUACCGUCCCACGUGUGUUGGGUCAUGAGUGCUGAAGUGUUCCUCUAAUUUGUUUAAGUGUUUUUUGCAUGUUUAAUACCUUUCUUUAGAUUGAUCCCGGCUGACUUGUUUUGAUUUAUUGCCUAAUUUGAAUGUUUCAUACCUUGCUUUGAUUAGGUUGUGAACCUCUAUGGUUUCGGUUUAAAAAAAGUUCACUUCUUUUGAGUGUUCCACUUCCAGCACGUCUUGAUGAUGUAGCUAGUGACUAAUGCAUUUUCCUGUAUGUCUGUGUGUGAUCCCUGUGUGGCUGCCAUUCUGACUGCUAGUUUUGCUUGCCUGCACAGUUUACUGUAUGUGGGGAGGAGAGACUGAUGUGAGCAGUGUAUAGUACUUCUAGUGCUUCCUUGUCAUUUGAGCUGGGGUGGGGAAUGUAGAUGGUGAUUAAAUUGUAAAUGCCCUCAGCAGAUUAUUGAAACUCUAGAGUGGCUGAGCAGUGUUUUGUGAUGGUAGAUGCGUUGUUGCACCACACGUUAAUAAAAAUGCAUACGUCCUUGCCUCUGGUUUUACCGGACUCUGCAGUUCUGUCCAUGUGGAAGGCAGAAAACCUGUCUAGGUGCAUCGCCUAAUUCUGUCAGUCGUUUUGGUGAAUACAUGAGUCCAGAGUCACAGCUGAAAUUGACAACUAGUGUAAAGCUACUGGCUCUUUUAUAAUUCGGAAACAAGUUUAUACAAAAUGUUUAAAUGCCUUUUCAAUUUUGGAUGUGGCUCAUGUUUGUGACUUUGUGGCCAAUUUAAGCUUCCUUAAGUUCAACAGACUAAAAGUGCAAAAUGUAACUGUUGGUCUAUUUUUCUUGGUAAUAGUUGUCUUUCUUGGUGAUUCAUUGUUUCACUUCACUGGCUGUCUUUCUGGCUUUGAAAGAUUUCAUGGGUGCGUAUCGAAGUAAAUCACUGCAAUAUAAGAGACUUGGCACACCAGCAGACUCCUUGUCAUGUCAGCCAGGUUCUGUUGAUGGGUGGUGGCACAGGCACUGCACCUGAGCCCUGGACUAGCGGUUAUCCUGUUGGCUUGUCUUGAAUGAACAAAGUUGGCUGUGGAAAUGUUGUCUUGAAUGUUUCUAAAACGUGCAGAGGAUCAAGUCUAAAUCUCCACCUGAGUAACUUGCAGAUGUGGUACACUCUAGACUAGGAUUGCAGCUGGGGUUCAUUGUAAGGAUUAAGUUGCCCUAAAACCAAAAUGUUUUCAUUAAAAGUAAGGUUGUCUGUUUUAGUGCAGAAAGGGGAGGGAUGAGUUUCCACCUGUCUGGAAGUGGAUGUGUGCUGUGCUUUGUGAAAAAGGAGGGCUGCUUGAAAACGAAUGCUUUUGUUAGAGGACUCUCGUUUUUCUUUUAAACAACUGCAACUGCUACAGUUUUUUUUUUUGUUCCAUGUACAAGUUUGGUACUGAUGUAUAAUAUACAAAAUGGUGUGUAGUUUUGCCCUGAGUAUCCUGUACAGCAGUCAAGACAGAGGAGAUGUGGCUGUAAAAGUGUGUACUCGGGGAAAGUGGUUGUUGAACCUUUGUUUUCAGAGGAGUUUCUAGUCACUGGGGAAUGUGAGGUUUGGUUUUAUGAAGGGUUUGAUCUGUAUGUGUACAGGCUGUAAUCUCCCUGCAGUUAGAAUGCAUGUAGUGGCUCGAAGGUUUAAAUCCAUUGGUUGUGGCCCAUCACUAGGUUUUGAGUUAUUUUUGCUUUGGAGUUUCAGUUUUGAAUGUUUAAGCUUGAAAACCUUUUCAGUCCAGGCUGCAGUUCUUUGGUACUGAAUAUGGUCAGUGUUUUCUCGUUCUACUGUCAAUCUCAAGAGUAUUGGGGCACCUUGAAUUGUUCUUAAUGUAAAACCAAAAUUUUAAUUUGGUCUUUAAAAGGCACAUUACUGCAUCUCUAGGUCUGCGUUAAGAAAGCCCGAAUUUCAACCUCUACCUGAUUGGAUGUACGACUGAGAAUUUGACUUAAUACCAGGGUAAUUUUAUUUAAAAGAGGGAUUUGUUUGACUGUCUUGUCUACAUGGAAUACAACAAUAAAUGGAUUUGGUCAUCCCUGUUUACCUGGGUUUUCGGAGAGUAGAAUCUAAGCUAGAAGCUUUUAGCUUAAUUUUGAGGGAGGAGUUGAGCUGGUCGCUUAUGUUUGCAGAUGGAUGCACCUGGGAUCUGAAGUACUUGAAUGCUUUGUUUUGUACUGUAUGUGAGUUGGUGACAAUUAAGGUGGAGUUUUGAACUGAAUCCAGAGAUUCUUUGGAUAUCUUCUAUUGAAAGAGCAGAACUACAAAGAAGCUGAUAGUUGUCUUUUUGGUUACUGCCUGAAUUGCUGAACUUGUUUGCUGUGUGAUGGAGAGUUUGCAGGAGUCACUGUCUUUUAACACAUGGGUACAUGACACCAUGCUGUUGAUGGGGAGCUCAGUGGCUGGCUAAAAGGAUGCAUUUGGUUUGAUUUGAUGCAAGUAUUGAAGUCCUGCGCUUUUAACAAUGGAGAGUGAAGAGAUGUUUUGCAGGUUAUCCUUAAAUUUCCUGGAUGCCUAUGGAUCUUGGAGCAGUUGUGAAGCAAGUAUCUAGGAGGAUUGUGUUCCUGGAGCAGUGGCUCUGUGCUACCAGACGAGAUGAGCAGGAUUGUGCUUCAGAGGGAGGAUCUUUAAUGACCAAAUGUGCAGCACAGAUGGGGUUGGGCUCUGGGAUGUUUGUGAAGAUCUGCCAGAGGAGUGGGGUGCAAGUUAAAAGCAGCAUCAGAGGAUCGAGAC